rnacentral:rRNA from 1 species
UACAGAGGGUGCGAGCGUUGUUCGGAAUUAUUGGGCGUAAAGGGCGCGUAGGCGGCGCCACAAGUCACCUGUGAAAACUCUGGGCUCAACCCAGAGCCUGCAGGCGAAACUGUGGUGCUGGAGUAUGGGAGAGGUGCGUGGAAUUCCCGGUGUAGCGGUGAAAUGCGUAGAUAUCGGAAGGAACACCUGUGGCGAAAGCGGCUCACUGGACCAUUACUGACACUGAGGCACGAAAGCUAGGGGAGCAAACAGG